UACGUAGGUGGCAAGCGUUGUCCGGAUUUAUUGGGUUUAAAGGGUGCGUAGGCGGCUUAUUAAGUCAGUGGUGAAAUACUCUAGCUCAACUAGAGGGGUGCCAUUGAUACUGAUGAGCUUGAGUACAGAUGAGGUAGGCGGAAUUGACGGUGUAGCGGUGAAAUGCUUAGAUAUCGUCAAGAACACCUAUAGCGAAGGCAGCUUACUAGGCUGUAACUGACGCUGAGGCACGAAAGUGUGGGGAUCAAACAGGAUUAGAUACCCUGGUAGUCCACACUGUAAACGUUGAUUACUCGCUGUGUGCGAUAUACAGUACGCGGCCAAGCGAAAGCGAUAAGUAAUCCACCUGGGGAGUACGCCGGCAACGGUGAA
rnacentral:rRNA from 1 species